AGCCUGAAACAGGCCCAGGUGAAGGCAGAGAAGCCAGAAAAUACAAGCUGGCUGGGAGGGAUCCUUUCUGCCCCUCCAAGAUGGCCAGAGGUCCAGAACACCAAGCCUUCACUCCAAGCCAAGCUAAUGCCAGCUGAGAAGGCAGGCUGCUGAGUUAGCAGGGAAGUCCUGGGGCGGGGGCCAGGAGGACACCCAGCCCGGCCCCGGGCCUAUCCCCAGCACCUCCCCAGAAGCGUGACUCUGACCCAGAGGGCAUGCCCUCUUUUUAUGGGGUGCAGCUGGGGCGCAGUGCACAGCAAGGUGCAUACACCCGACACUUCAGCACUGAGGCUAUCGGUCCCGUGCCCUUGUAGCGGAGACCAUCAGACGGUGGGUGGGUGGGGCGGCUAGGCUGAAUACCACACCCUAUUGCUAGGAGACCGAAAUUUCUGGUUUAAAUUCUACCCGCUGGUAAGAUUUUGGGCUUUGGAUCCCAGCCCUUGGACUUGACCAGAGACAGAGUGACUGAACUUUACCAAAAUUUUAGGGGACGGGUAUUGCUGUGGGUCAUUUUGUACUGGGCUCUGUUUCCUUUUCUGCAAGGCGGGAGGUGUUAGUGUUCAGUGUGUAACUCAGUCUGAGGUCAUUUGGCCACAGGAGGCCACAUCCGACCCCAGCAGAGAGAGCGUCACAUCCGUCAGACGUGUGGUGGUCACUCAGACAGACUCAGCGGGCUCCCUGUGGGGGCGGGCACUGCGCGCUGGCCGGCCAUCUGCGAAGGAGGCUCUGUGCAACCUCGUGCUGGUGCUGGGGACCCGCUUAUGGCGAAGGAGGUGGGGGUGGUGAGCCUGUGGCCGUGGGACCCACCGGUCCCCUAACACACCACACGGCCCAGAAGCUGCUGGCCCAGCGGAGCAAUGAAGCUGCCUUUCGGCUCAGAGUUGAUAGCCUAGGGCGAAUGCUUCCAGAAAGGGAUGUGGUAAGAGUCUGAUUCAAUGCUGGGUCACGGCUCCUUGUGCCAGAAGACUAGCAGGUCAAGGAAGGGGUCUCCUCGUGGCCACCGGAGGAGGGAUCAGCCAGAAUCCUGGAGACGCUCUUCCGACGGUGACCCCUGUGGCUGGUGGGUCUGAGGGGCACCAAGGUGGACCGUGGUCGGCAUUACGGCGUGCUGCCCAGAUUCGCCCCUCAGAACGAGGGCUCUCAUUCCCUCCGUGGCUGGGAGUAUAGGCUGCCGAUGGCUCAGAGAAGUCCCUCCUGGGGAGCUGCCCUCAGCUGCGGGCCACCCCCUCCCUGGACGCAGCCCUGUGCAGACUGGCUUGUGCACGGUGCAAAGGCUCCACCCUCUGGUCUCAGUUCAGGACGUCCCUGUAGGGCCAGGUAGCCCCUCACCAGUCAGCCUCUCCUCCCCAAGCAGCAGCCUGCAUGCAAGGGCCUGUCUCUCAGGGAGCCCAACCUGUGUCUCCUAGAGCCUCGCCGAAGCCUCGCCUGUUACCCAGCACUCUGGUCUUGUCUUGUGUCCCUGCUGCAUCAAUGACGCUCCCUCGACCUGGAACCACUCCUUGCAUUUUGUCCCUUCGCCUUAAACAGAAGUCACAGAUCUGAUCGAUUGUCCUGACCCCGCCAGGCCUCCCUGUGAACACUCACCGCU